CCUACGGGGGGCUGCAGUCGAGAAUCUUCCGCAAUGGGCGAAAGCCUGACGGAGCGACGCCGCGUGCGGGAUGAAGGCCUUCGGGUUGUAAACCGCUGUCAGAUGGGAGGAAAUUCACGGGGGUAAUUCAUAAUCUCUCGUGAUUGACUGAACGUCAGAGGAAGCACAGGCUAAGUUCGUGCCAGCAGCCGCGGUAACACGAACUGUGCAAACGUUAUUCGGAAUUACUGGGCUUAAAGAGUUCGUAGGCGGCUCUGUAAGUCGGGUGUGAAAUCCCCCAGCUCAACUGGGGAACUGCGCUCGAAACUGUGGGGCUUGAGGGAGAUAGAGGUGAGCGGAACUGAUGGUGGAGCGGUGAAAUGCGUUGAUACUAUCAGGAACACCGGUUGCGAAAGCGGCUCACUGGGUCUUUUCUGACGCUGAGGAACGAAAGCUAGGGGAGCAAACGGGAUUAGAUACCCGUGUAGUC
rnacentral:rRNA from 1 species